CUGGUCGCUCUCUCUUUUCAGUCCGUCACUGCACGUCUCGAACCCACUGCCUCGCUGGCCGCGGCAGACGGAUGUUUAACCUGGCUGUGGAGCAUCAUACCUGGUACAUUCUCUGGAAAUGCACUGCUGACAUUCGGAACUGCCCGUCUCAGCACAGCGAUGGUCAGCGAUGGUGAAAUGGCAGCAAUUUCAUAGAUUUCCAUCUGGUAGGCCUCAGAUCUGGAGUUGAGAGGCAAGAUUCUUCCUGGUUCUGCAUAUUAAACAGUUUGUUCUUGGGAAGACCAACCCACACCUCUGUUCUCAGCUAAUAGUUACAGCAUAUUAUCAAGGUUGUUACAUGCCUGUUACUGCAUAUCACAGCAUCUGUCUGUGGUUGAAGACCAUGAUGAAACACAUCAUUUCUACUGUAAGGAGGUUGUUGCAAUUGUUGUUUAAUUAUGUGAUGGAUGUUCUCUUUCUGAAGAUUCAGGAUAAAUCAAUUUGUUCAUACCAUCAGGAACAGUUGUUUUUCUCCUUGGGAAUUAAAAAAAAAUUUUUAAAAAAAUAAACACAGAGAAUUGUGUCCUUAGAAGUUUUACUGUCACAUUAACCACUAGAAAGCUUGGAGCUAAAUUUGCAAGUUAUUCAUGGCAAAAAUAAAGACUUUGUGGCAUAUA